GCUGAUUUUGGUAUUUCGAAAUAGAUUAAUAAUAAAUAGGAUAAUACCAUGACAU
rnacentral:sRNA from 1 species